rnacentral:rRNA from 1 species
GACGUAGGGCGCGAGCGUUGUCCGGAUUUAUUGGGCGUAAAGAGCUCGUAGGCGGCUUGUCGCGUCGGCUGUGAAAACCCGUGGCUCAACUGCGGGCUUGCAGCCGAUACGGGCAGGCUAGAGUUCGGUAGGGGAGACUGGAAUUCCUAGUGUAGCGGUGAAAUGCGCAGAUAUCAGGAGGAACACCGGUGGCGAAGGCGGGUCUCUGGGCCGAUACUGACGCUGAGGAGCGAAAGCGUGGGGAGCGAACAGG